GAUGAACGCUGGCGGCGUGCCUAAUACAUGCAAGUCGAGCGAACAGAUGAGGAGCUUGCUCCUCUGACGUUAGCGGCGGACGGGUGAGUAACACGUGGAUAACCUACCUAUAAGACUGGGAUAACUUCGGGAAACCGGAGCUAAUACCGGAUAAUAUAUUGAACCGCAUGGUUCAAUAGUGAAAGACGGUUUUGCUGUCACUUAUAGAUGGAUCCGCGCCGCAUUAGCUAGUUGGUAAGGUAACGGCUUACCAAGGCAACGAUGCGUAGCCGACCUGAGCGGGUGAUCGGCCACACUGGAACUGAGACUCGGUCCAGACUCCGACGGGAGGCAGCAGUAGGGAAUCUUCCGCAAUGGGCGAAAGCCUGACGGAGCAACGCCGCGUGAGUGAUGAAGGUCUUCGGAUCGUAAAACUCUGUUAUUAGGGAAGAACAAAUGUGUAAGUAACUAUGCACGUCUUGACGGUACCUAAUCAGAAAGCCACGGCUAACUACGUG
rnacentral:rRNA from 1 species